CCUACGGGAGGCAGCAGUAGGGAAUUUUCGGCAAUGGGGGGAACCCUGACCGAGCAACGCCGCGUGAACGAAGAAGUUAUUCGUAAUGUAAAGUUCUUUCAACAGGGAAGAAAGAGAAAUUUGACGGUACCUGAAGAAUAAGCUCCGGCUAACUACGUGCCAGCGGCAGCGGUAAUACGUAGGGAGCGAGCGUUAUCCGGAUUUAUUGGGCGAAAGGGGUGCGUAGAUGGCAUGGUAAGUCUUAUUUAAAAAUGCUGGGCUAAACCCAGUAGGGCAAAAGAUACUGCAAAGCUAGAGUAUGACAGAGGCAAGCGGAACUACAAGUGUAGCGGUAAAAUGCGUAAAUAUAAGUAAGAACACCAGUGGCGAAGGCGGCUUGCUGGGUCGAUACUGACAUUGAGGCACGAAAGCGUGGGGAGCAAACAGGAUUAGAUACCCCAGUAGUC
rnacentral:rRNA from 1 species